rnacentral:rRNA from 1 species
CAGGUCUUGACAUCCGGACGACAGGGAAGUAACGUUCCCCUCCCUUCGGGGCGUCCGAGACAGGUGGUGCAUGGUUGUCAUCAGCUCGUGUCGUGAGAUGUUGGGUUAAGUCCCGCAACGAGCGCAACCCUUAUCUUCAGCAGCCAGCAUUUCGGAUGGGCACUCUGGAGAGACUGCCAGGGACAACCUGGAGGAAGGUGGGGAUGACGUCAAAUCAUCAUGCCCCUUAUGAUCUGGGCUACACACGUGCUACAAUGGCGUAAACAAAGGGAAGCGAGACCGUGAGGUGGAGCAAAUCCCAAAAAUAACGUCUCAGUUCGGAUUGUAGUCUGCAACUCGACUACAUGAAGCUGGAAUCGCUAGUAAUCGCGAAUCAGAA